UACGGAAGGCAGCAGUGGGGAAUAUUGCACAAUGGGCGCAAGCCUGAUGCAGCCAUGCCGCGUGUAUGAAGAAGGCCUUCGGGUUGUAAAGUACUUUCAGUCGUGAGGAAGGUGUUAAGGUUAAUAACCUUAGCAAUUGACGUUAGCGACAGAAGAAGCACCGGCUAACUCCGUGCCAGCAGCCGCGGUAAUACGGAGGGUGCGAGCGUUAAUCGGAAUUACUGGGCGUAAAGGGCACGCAGGCGGUUAAUUAAGUUGGAUGUGAAAUCCCCGGGCUUAACCUGGGAAUGGCAUUCAAGACUGGUUAGCUAGAGUCUUGUAGAGGGGGUAGAAUUCCAUGUGUAGCGGUGAAAUGCGUAGAGAUGUGGAGGAUACCGGUGGCGAAGGCGGCCCCUGGACAAAGACUGACGCUCAUGUGCGAAAGCGUGGGGAGCAAAC
rnacentral:rRNA from 1 species